rnacentral:rRNA from 1 species
AUGAUUCCAUCCAUAUUGGAUCAAUUCUCUAUACCACUUUGCAAUGAAAAGAGGAAUGUUUGUUAUGGUAAAACUUCGUUUAAAACGAUGUGGCAGAAAGCAACGUGCGACUUGAAGGACAUGAUCGAUUGUGGAUUUUGCUAUCCAUCAUUUUCCAUAGUAAUGAAAAUGCUCUUGGCUCGACAUAGCCUGUUCUAUUCGUUCCGAACCAAAUUUGCGCUAGGUUUAAGUAACAUAGUACAUGAUGGAGCUCGAGAGGACAUAAUUUUUUUUAUCAAGGGAAAGAAUCUAGGGUUAGUGAAAACUAAUAAAUUAGGCCAACUUUGUUAG